CAUUUAUUUGUAAUUUGUAGAUGUUUUUAGACAAAUAUUCUGUUUGGUUUUGUUUUUGAUUGUUAAUUGUGCAGCGAAAUUGUGAUAGUAAAUUAAAUAUAAAGUUGUUUAUCGCCUACAGAACUGAAUUAUCCCAUAGUAAUUAUCAGUUUGUGUCAAUUUGUUUAAAAAAGAAAAAACACCUUUCCUUGUGUUUGACCGACUUGUAGCAAGGGCUUUCUUGUGAAUCCUGUAAAUUGCGGGAAUAGGACAGACAGGGAUAAAAUCCUCACUUUUUACUGUUCCCAAGGCUAUACAUUUCCCACAUGCAAUACAUUUAAAUGAAUUUUAUCCAAACAAAGGCAGGAACAUUGGAUAAAAGCAAUAAGGAGAACAGACCUCAAAUUAAAAUAUGAGAGUAUACAGUAAACAUUUUAUAAGUGGAAUAAACACCAGCUAUUUUAAAUGUAGGAAAAGGAGAAACUGCUGGAACCUAACUUUACACAAAUGUUUUUGACUAUUGAAGAUUUGGAUAAACAACAGAAGUUACUUUGGGCUAUAGCUAUGUGCAGAUUUAUUUCAUUGUGGAUUACUAUGUUUAUUCUUUUUAACUAUACUUCCUACGUUGUUUGUGAGAUUAAUAUUAUUAUUUAAUUGAUUAUAUUAAUAUUUUGUAAUAAUAAUCAAUGCUUUGGUUUAACAAAUAGACAACUUAAAAUAGAAAAA